rnacentral:rRNA from 1 species
AGUGAACGCUGGCGGUAGGCCUAACACAUGCAAGUCGAACGGCAGCACAGUAAGAGCUUGCUCUUACGGGUGGCGAGUGGCGGACGGGUGAGGAAUACAUCGGAAUCUACUUUUUCGUGGGGGAUAACGUAGGGAAACUUACGCUAAUACCGCAUACGACCUACGGGUGAAAGCAGGGGAUCUUCGGACCUUGCGCGAUUGAAUGAGCCGAUGUCGGAUUAGCUAGUUGGCGGGGUAAAGGCCCACCAAGGCGACGAUCCGUAGCUGGUCUGAGAGGAUGAUCAGCCACACUGGAACUGAGACACUGUCCAGACUCCUACGGGAGGCAGCAGUGGGGAAUAUUGGACAAUGGGCGCAAGCCUGAUCCAGCCAUACCGCGUGGGUGAAGAAGGCCUUCGGGUUGUAAAGCCCUUUUGUUGGGAAAGAAAAGCAGCAGGUUAAUACCCCACUGUUCUGACGGUACCCAAAGAAUAAGCACCGGCUAACUUCGUG